CCAGAGAACUUGGCAGAGAUGCCUUGGUGCCUUUGGGACCUCUGAGACAGGUGCUGCAUGGCUGUCGGUCAGCUCGUGUUGUGAAGUGUUGGGUUAAGUCCCGCAACGAGCGCAACCUCUAUCCUUUGUUGCCAGCGAUUCGGUCGGGAACUCAAAGGAGACUGCCGGUGAUAAACCGGAGGAAGGUGGGGAUGACGUCAAGUCAUCAUGGCCCUUACGAGUAGGGCUACACACGUGCUACAAUGGCGCAUACAAAGAGAAGCGACCUCGCGAGAGCAAGCGGACCUCAUAAAGUGCGUCGUAGUCCGGAUCGGAGUCUGCAACUCGACUCCGUGAAGUCGGAAUCGCUAGUAAUCGUAGAUCAGAAUGCUACGGUGAAUACGUUCCCGGGCCUUGUACACACCGCCCGUCACACCAUGGGAGUGGGUUGCAAAAGAAGUAGAUAGCUUAACCUUCGGGAGGGCGUUUACCACUUUGUGAUUCAUGACUGGGGUGAAGUCGUAACAAGGUAGGCGUAGCGAG
rnacentral:rRNA from 1 species